rnacentral:lncRNA from 1 species
UCUCACUGGACUGAAGGCUGGCUCCCGCGCUACUACUACUGUCCAAAACCUGGAUCUGUGCAAAAGAGCACAAAGCGUAGUAUCAGCACAACCGACCCCAUGUGCUGGUAAGUGUCUGGCCUAAACCCGGCGAGGUAGUGACGAGGCUAGGACCAGACUCCAGAUAAACCUGUACAGUUAUAUAAUAUAUGGCAGAAAAGUAAACAAGUAAUAAGAAGUUAAAGCUGGGGAAGAGGAACAUGCUUCGGGGAUAGCAGCUAAAAGAAAUAACAGGGAAUAAUAAGGAAAUUAGCACUAUAACUUCUAUCACAAAUGAAGAAAAUAAAGGCAACUUUCAGGCGUGCAACCCGAUCCCAUUUCUCAUAUCUCGUGGUAGGCGUACCACCCGCUCCCAUUUCAUUCUAUCUCGUGGUAGGCGUACCACCCGCUCUCAUUUCAUAGAAAACAUCUUGAACAUAGAGAAAUUCCUUUUUUUAUGAGAUUAUCCUGGGUUAAUACCGCCUCCUUUGCUAGUAGCCAAGUGAAGCAUGCUACCUUGUAUGGAAUCUUUGUUUUCCAUAUAUGUUUCCAAGGCCAUAGGUCUACCUGUUGAUUAUUAUGAUUCAAAAUCUUAUAUGCAUCCUUCGCCCGGUAAACCCCUCUGUUGUGCCUCUGCCACCAAAGUGAAUCAAACCCUUCCUGUAAUCCUUUAAAUGCUUCCAGCUCUUUGUAAAGGUCAGCUAAUCUUGUUAUCUCCCAGUCAUUCAGCUGUCUUCUGAGAGCGAUUUCCCAUCCUUGAUGACUCCUCAUAUCAGCUACUGUCUUAUGCUGGUUAUGUGCUAAACCAAACAUAUCGGGGUAUCUUUCCUUUAAGCUUCCGUGUCCUAACAAGUUAUCAUUCCAGAAUGAUGUGUUUCUUCCGUUUUUCACUCUAAUGGAGGAGUGGUUCUUCACUUUAAAUGCACUCACGGGAUUAAGAUUGAGUAUCGCACAAAGAACAAUUAUGAAGUGAAGGAAGAAGACCCCAAUGAAGGCAAAGAGAAAGAACCUUCUAAGGUUGUUGAAGACAACAUUCUGGCCAAUCUUGCAGUCUAUGCCAAAAUAAUUGUUAAACCUGUCGAGAAUUCCAACAAAAGUUGAAGUUUGGUUUGAAAUGUUUAAAUUUUCAUUUGUAUAGUGUACUACUGUGUGCGAGCUCUUUCCAAGCUAUCAUUGAAAGAAUCUCAAUAAAGAACUUCAAUAAGGAGAUAACAAGAUUCGCUUAUCAAAUACCUAUGCCAAAACUAAUGAAUAUGUUACUCAAGACAUGGAUGAUGUGUGAGGCAUAAUUACCGAGAAUUUUAUGACGCUCAAAUGUCAGUGAAAAAGCUAUUAAAUGAUAAAAGUAAUUAACUAAACAAGAGAAAUGCGUCAUCCCAUGACUUAACAAUUUUAGGGAAACUCUAAAUUUUCAUGCAGGCAUCUUUUAAAACUUUGUGCUUCAAUGAGAAAGAAGCACGUUUCAUUUGCCAAUUUUGAUUUAUAAUUUAUUUUUCUUGGCUAGGCUACACAUCAUUUCCAUCUUUAUUAUGAUUUUCUCGGUUUACAGCAUAUGCACAUAUAUAAAAAGAUUGUUUACAUGUCGACAAUAACAUAUAUAGUCUGAUGGUAUCAAAGGUCAAAGAUGUCAAAUAGAUCACCACUACCAAAAAUCACGAGGCUGAAAGAGUAGUUCAUGAGUAAAAAUGGCCCAUUCCAUUGCUAAGAUUUCGAUAUCUUCCUGAACACAAACCUGUCAAUGUUAGAAUACAUGAAAAGGACAGAAAGUUAUGCUAUGAUGCAUCAAUACAACAAUUUGG